CCUACGGGAGGCUGCAGUGAGGAAUAUUGGUCAAUGGACGCAAGUCUGAACCAGCCAUGCCGCGUGCAGGACGACGGCUCUAUGAGUUGUAAACUGCUUUUGUACGAGGGUAAACGCAGAUACGUGUAUCUGUCUGAAAGUAUCUUACGAAUAAGGAUCGGCUAACUCCGUGCCAGCAGCCGCGGUAAUACGGAGGAUUCAAGCGUUAUCCGGAUUUAUUGGGUUUAAAGGGUGCGUAGGCGGUCGGAUAAGUUAGAGGUGAAAUCCCGGGGCACAACUUCGGAAUUGCCUCUGAUACUGUCUGGCUAGAGAGUAGUAGAGGUAGGCGGAAUGUAUGGUGUAGCGGUGAAAUGCUUAGAGAU
rnacentral:rRNA from 1 species